CACUGUAGUUUCGAGCGUGUUCUUUGGUCUCGCUUCAUUUUCAUUUUCCCGCCAGAUUUUAAAGAUGCUGGGGAAUGACCGCCAUCUUUAGCGAAAUUUCCAUGCCGCUUCGUUCUCAUUGGUCGGUUCUUGUGUAUCCUGUGGCACGUCGUUCCGCAUAAAUCGAUCCGUGUAAACGCACGUUACUGUCUCUGUCAUUCGACAAUCUCGCUCUUUCCAGCCGAAGUCGUUGUCAACGGUACCGGAGUGGGAACCUAUCGUUUCAUGUGCUUUCCUUUUCUUCUAGUCGAAACGACCGAUAAGUUAUACGCGAUACUAUGGCGCCACCGACGAAGAGCACCAAGGUAGCAACGAGAGGUGCAAAGCAAAUAGCGGAGGAGAACCUUUCGACGUUAUGCUUUUACAGAAACAUGAUUUUUGGAGCGUCAGGACUUUAUUUUACGAUCAUGACGACUUUCUUCGAGUUUACAAUUACCUCGAUACUUAUGAGUAUAUUGUCGAUGGCUGCGUACAUAGGAAGUUACCAAUUCAUGGCGUACAUGGCACGAGCCAAAUAUUCCGAAUCUGGACAACUCCUAGAUUCCGGGAUUGACCUUAAUAUGGAAGGCGGUAUUGCUGAACAUAUAAAGGAUUUAAUUAUUCUAACUGCCGGGGUGCAGACACUUUCAAUCAUUUCGAAUUACUUCUGGUUGCUAUGGCUUCUGGUUCCCGCACGAGGGAUGUGGAUGCUCUGGAACAAAAUCUUAGGUCCUUGGUUCUUUGCUCCUCCUCCAGAAGUCGACGAAAAGAAGCAGCGGAAGAUGGAAAAAAAAAUGUCAAGGAGGCAUUGAACUCAAUUUAUCGGAACAUCUUUAAUAAGAUAAAAUCUCUACACCAAAAGUAUUCCAGCCAUGAAAAUGGCGGUACUUAAUUAAAUCGUACCUCGAAUAUAAAGCAUUCAAUCGAUAAGAACGAGAGGACCGUGCACAAACAUCAAUGGAAAAUACAAUUUAAAGCGACGAUGACUAAUGAUCAAUAACUUCUUUUUUAUCAUACGCGCUCGAAGCAUGGAAACGUAUUCACAAGUAGCAAGAAAAGACGUUGGAAUUAAUUUAAAUGAUUCCAAGUUCAAUAAGUUACGUCGAUGUUCAUUGACGUUGACUAAGGAAUCGAUCGUCGGUUCAAGAAUUCCAACAACGAUCGUCGAGAAAAGUGCACGGUCACUCGGGGACACCUUGCUGCGUUUCCUCGAAUCGGAAGUAUCAGACAAAAUUUUGCCUCUGCGACCUCUGCGUCCAACGAGGAUUUUCGAGGUGCGUCGAAGAACGGUCCAGGGAAUAAUUACUGCGAAGCAACGAGGCGGCGCGGCGCGACUCUACGGACGAUUCCGGUAAUUGGCAGGAACAUGGGCGGGGACGCGGGCGCGUUUCAGGUCCAACGUAUAUACCC